UGCAUCGGGAAUUGAACCCGAGCCGCUCGCGUGGCAGGCGAGCAUUCUACCACUGAACCAC
rnacentral:tRNA from 1 species